GAUGAACGCUGGCGGCAGGCCUAACACAUGCAAGUCGAGCGGAGCGGCGGACGGGUGAGUAAUGCCUAGGAAUCUGCCUGGUAGUGGGGGAUAACGUCCGGAAACGGGCGCUAAUACCGCAUACUAUCAGAUGAGCCUAGGUCGGAUUAGCUCGGUGGUGGGGUAAAGGCCUACCAAGGGGACGAUCCGUAACUGGUCUGAGUGGAUGAUCGGUCACACUUGUAUUGAGACCCUGUCCCGACACCUUCGGGGGGCAGCGGUGGGGAAGAUUGGAAUAUGGGCGAAAGCCUGAUCCACCCAUGGAGAGUGUGUGAAGAAGGUCUUCGGAUUGUAAAGCACUUUAAGUUGGGAGGCGUUACUCGCAGAAGAAGCACCUGCUAACUCCGUGCCAGCAGCCGCGGUAAUUC
rnacentral:rRNA from 1 species